AAUAAUCGACAAUCGCGUCGGUCGCCGUGCGUCACGACCCGCGUACUUAUCAGGAGGACGGUGACCAGGUACUCGCGACUCGCGCUCCGGAGCAGCGGUACCGACUAAUGGCUCUUCAGAUCAGCCAAACGU